rnacentral:rRNA from 1 species
GACGAACGCUGGCGGCGUGCCUAAUACAUGCAAGUCGAGCGAAUUUUUGGGAGCUUGCUCCCAAAGGUUAGCGGCGGACGGGUGAGUAACACGUGGGCAACCUGCCUAUAAGACCGGGAUAACUUCGGGAAACCGGAGCUAAUACCGGAUAAUUCAUAUCUACUCAUGUAGGUAUGCUGAAAGACGGUUUACGCUGUCACUUAUAGAUGGGCCCGCGGCGCAUUAGCUAGUUGGUGAGGUAACGGCUCACCAAGGCAACGAUGCGUAGCCGACCUGAGAGGGUGAUCGGCCACACUGGGACUGAGACACGGCCCAGACUCCUACGGGAGGCAGCAGUAGGGAAUCUUCCGCAAUGGACGAAAGUCUGACGGAGCAACGCCGCGUGAGUGAUGAAGGUUUUCGGAUCGUAAAGCUCUGUUGUUAGGGAAGAAUAAGUACUAGAGUAACUGCUAGUACCUUGACGGUACCUAACCAGAAAGCCACGGCUAACUACGUGCCAGCAGCCGCGGUAACAC